CGUACAUCCAGAGAACUUAGCAGAGAUGCUUUGGUGCCUUCGGGAACUCUGAGACAGGUGCUGCAUGGCUGUCGUCAGCUCGUGUUGUGAAAUGUUGGGUUAAGUCCCGCAACGAGCGCAACCCUUAUCCUUUGUUGCCAGCGGUUCGGCCGGGAACUCAAAGGAGACUGCCGGUGAUAAACCGGAGGAAGGUGGGGAUGACGUCAAGUCAUCAUGGCCCUUACGGCCAGGGCUACACACGUGCUACAAUGGCGCAUACAAAGAGGAAGCGACCUCGCGAGAGCAAGCGGACCUCAUAAAGUGCGUCGUAGUCCGGAUUGGAGUCUGCAACUCGACUCCAUGAAGUCGGAAUCGCUAGUAAUCGUAGAUCAGAAUGCUACGGUGAAUACGUUCCCGGGCCUUGUACACACCGCCCGUCACACCAUGGGAGUGGGUUGCAAAAGAAGUAGGUAGCUUAACCUUCGGGAGGGCGCUUACCACUUUGUGAUUCAUGACUGGGGUGAAGUCGUAACAAGGUAAGCGUAGCGAG
rnacentral:rRNA from 1 species